rnacentral:tRNA from 1 species
UGGCAUGUGGCUUAGUGGUAGAGCACUUGCUUAGUGUGCAAGAGGCCCUGGGUUCAAUUCCCCAGCACUGCAA